AACCAAUCUGAACACAUCUCGUUAUCUCUUUCUCGAAAGACUUAUCAAAGAUGGUUGGAUCAGCUAGAGAAGCAGCCUCACCUUCGUUCCACAGCUUCCACGCCUGUUAAAAGGACCAAACUACAUUCUUGAAUCUCUGUGAAGAUACAAGAGACCUCUGCAAAUCCCUUCCAUUAUGUUGAACCGUGUCUUCCAGUCAAGAAUCUUUUGCUUCAAUGGGUCUGAAGAAAAAAGCUAACAAAAAUCAUUACCUUUCUCUUCUGUCACCCAAGUAAAACACAGGAGAUAAGUUUUACCAAAUAGAUAGGCAUCCAAGCUUUUAUUAGGCAUAUAUUCGUAGACUAACAGUCUUUCUACACCUUCAAUGCAACAGCCAAGUAACUUCACUAGAUUCCGAUGUUGCAACUUGGAAAUCACAACCACUUCGUUCAUAAGCUCCUCAAGUCCUUGUCCUGAUGCCUGACCAAAUCCACCUUGUCCGAGCUUGUUUCUUAGAGAGAAGCUACCAGUUGCUGUGGCUAACACUUGAAACUCAAAGAGUGGAAGCUCCUUGAGCUUCACUUGGUUAGAAGCAGUCUCAUUACCACUUAACGCAGACAGCAGCAAGGAACGCAACGCCUAGCACGGGUGCAAUGAUGAUAACUGCUCGAUUGCUAUAUGUUUCUACAUGUUUGACGAGAAAACAUAAGUCAAUUAAGGGUCCGAAUGGAAAUAUGAAGAACAACUGCGGUUUAGUCUUAGUGGUAACAAAAACACAUACACAUACACAUAUGUAUAUGUAGAGAUUUUUGUUACUAUUAAAUGUGGUGCAGUGCGGUUUGUAAACAUUUGAAGGCUAGCUAAGAAGGAAACAAGUGAGAAUACGAGAGGGGUUUU